GAUGAACGCUGGCGGCGUGCCUAAUACAUGCAAGUCGAGCGAAUGGAUUAAGAGCUUGCUCUUAUGAAGUUAGCGGCGGACGGGUGAGUAACGCGCGGGUAACCUGCCCAUAAGACUGGGAUAACUCCGGGAAACCGGGGCUAAUACCGGAUAAUAUUUUGAACUGCAUGGUUCAAAAUUGAAAGGCGGCUUCGGCUGUCACUUAUGGAUGGACCCGCGUCGCAUUAGCUAGUUGGUGAGGUAACGGCUCACCAAGACAACGAUGCGUAGCCGGCCUGAGAGGGUGAUCGGCCACACUGGGACUGAGACACGGCCCAGACUCCUACGGGAGGCAGCAGUAGGGAAUCUUCCGCAAUGGACGAAAGUCUGACGGAGCAACGCCGCGUGAGUGAUGAAGGCUUUCGGGUCGUAAAACUCUGUUGUUAGGGAAGAACAAGUGCUAGUUGAAUAAGCUGGCACCUUGACGGUACCUAACCAGAAAGCCACGGCUAACUACGUGCCAGCCGCCGCCGUAA
rnacentral:rRNA from 1 species